ensembl:misc_RNA 7SK 7SK RNA
GGAUGUAAGGGCAAUCUGGCUAUGAAAUCUUUCAUCCCAUUGAUUGUCAGCAUCGACUUGGAUGAUCUAGCUGGCUAGGUAGGUGUCUCCUUCCUCCCUCAUUGCUCCAUGUGUGUCCCUCCUGAAGUUGCAAAGCUGCAGUGUAAGGGGAUGACCCUCCCCAAGAGAGGAGGACUGUUUCCCUCAGUCAAGGGUAUACAAUUAGCUGUACUCCCCUACUAGAACCUCCAGACAAGCUCUAAAGGUCUCUUAGAGGUUAAUGCUUCAAUAUAUAAAUUUGGAGAAACAAAAAUAUUCAGUCUAU